UGUACUCGUUGUAAAAAAAAAUUCAAAUCUGAAUAAUCCAGAUGAGAAAUGAAAUGGAAGUGAAAACUCCCCCCUCACUGCGCCGAGAAGCCCCGACUCCUGUAUCUGCACAUAACAACUGCCACUCCUCAAGUUCUUGCAGCUUCCAGCGUCCCCACAAACUGAGCACCUAUUAUGCGCCAGCCACGUUAUGCUCACGAUGGCCCUCGAUGUUGCAACUUCAGGCCACCCCCGAUGUUACAGAUGAGAAAAGGGAGGCUUGGAAAUUAAGUCAUUUGAAUCUUUCACUGAAGAGACCUCACGUCCAAGUUAACUUCUGCAGAGAACGCCGGUUUCCUAAAACCCUACCUGAGUUCACGAAGAGCUGAAAGCAUGUUUUACAUCCAGAAGGAAAGACCAACAGCCCUUCUUCUUUGGUGGCGCAUUCAUAAACAGAUGUAAGACAGGAAAUCGGUCCCCUCCGCCCCUGCCCCGGGGUGUCUGCGGACAGAACAAAGAGCGCGCUUCGGUGCCCGGCCAGCAAGCAGAGCCUGCGCCGUGAUUGCUGCCCGAUGCUGCGGAUGGAUUCAAGGCCCGGGUCCAUCUGGUUUGUGUAUCGUGAACGAGCUGUUAAAGUGUCAGGACUUAACUUCUCUGGAUUCGAGGAAGUCUCGUGAGGGUUUAUUGAGCAGUUAAGAUGGGUGUAAACGUCACUGGGGGGACCUGCUCCCCUGCUAUGAUCUAAGAGAUACGCAGGUUCGCAGGAUGGAGAAACUCACCGUUAGAAAUAGGGAGAUGGACAACCCCCUGCCCCCGCUCCAAUGAAAACGCCGGGGACUUGGAAUGCAGGCUCCAUCCACUACGCCCCAUCACAGCCUCCGUUCUGUGUCCAGGCUUCUGUGUCUCCUCUGGGACGCGGAGACCCUAACCUUGAUCACCUCACAGAGCUGCUGGAUGUGACAGGACCCAUACAGAGAGCUAUGAGUGGGACUAAGAGGAGGAACUGACAACAUCCACAGGGUCCAGAAGGCUCCCCUGAGAAGUGAAGCCUGGCCGAAAUGAGAAAGAUGGCUCACGUAUGGAGCUCAGCCGCCACAUUGUGAGGGAGCCCAGACUAGCCCAUAUGGAGAUGCCCCAUGUCAACUGUCUGGCCAGUAACCCAGCUGUGGUCCCAGCCAACAGCCAGCAUCAACUUCCAAGCAUGAGAGUGACACGUCUCCAGAUGUUCCCAGCCCCUGGAUCGGCCCCAGCUG